GACGAACGCUGGCGGCGUGCCUAAUACAUGCAAGUCGAGCGAAUGGAUGGGAGCUUGCUCCCUGAAGUUAGCGGCGGACGGGUGAGUAACACGUGGGCAACCUGCCUGUAAGACUGGGAUAACUUCGGGAAACCGGAGCUAAUACCGGAUACAUUCUUUCUUCGCCUGAAGAAAGAUGGAAAGAUGGUUUCGGCUAUCACUUGCAGAUGGGCCCGCGGCGCAUUAGCUAGUUGGUGAGGUAACGGCUCACCAAGGCAACGAUGCGUAGCCGACCUGAGAGGGUGAUCGGCCACACUGGGACUGAGACACGGCCCAGACUCCUACGGGAGGCAGCAGUAGGGAAUCUUCCGCAAUGGACGAAAGUCUGACGGAGCAACGCCGCGUGAGCGAAGAAGGCCUUCGGGUCGUAAAGCUCUGUUGUUAGGGAAGAACAAGUACCAGAGUAACUGCUGGUACCUUGACGGUACCUAACCAGAAAGCCACGGCUAACUACGUGCCAGCAGCCGCCGUAACAC
rnacentral:rRNA from 1 species